rnacentral:RNase_P_RNA from 1 species
AACAGAAAAGAAACCGCCUCUUCGGAGGUAAGGGUGGAAUGGCAGUGUAAGAGACUACCGCCUUCACGGUAACGCGAAGGGCUGUGUAAACCCCACUCAUAGCAAGACCAGACAGAGAGCGAUACGGCGGCCCGUCGUGCUUUCGGGUAGGUUGCGUUCCGCGGUCGAAAGACCUCGGAGGAGCUGCGCGGUAACGUGCAGUCAAGAUAGAUGAUCACCUAAGACAGAACCCGGCUUACAGUGCUGCCAAUCAA